rnacentral:rRNA from 1 species
UACGGAGGAUGCGAGCGUUAUCCGGAUUUAUUGGGUUUAAAGGGUGCGCAGGCGGCCUGUUAAGUCAGCGGUAAAAGCCCGGGGCUCAACCCCGGCGAGCCGUUGAAACUGGCGGGCUGGAGUUGGAGAGAAGUAUGCGGAAUGCGCGGUGUAGCGGUGAAAUGCAUAGAUAUCACGCAGAACCCCGAUUGCGAAGGCAGCAUACCGGCGCCCUACUGACGCUGAGGCACGAAAGCGUGGGGAGCAAAUAGG